GGCCUCCCGCUGCUUACCACAGGCUAUGUUCUUACACUGACUGUAAAGAAAGAGGAGGCACAGCAAACCUACCCUAUACAUCACCUCAGCCUAGGCCCUGUGCCUGGUCUGUAUUGUGAAUGGGGGGACAUGA
rnacentral:snoRNA from 1 species